CUGUAGAGGUCCAUGAAAAUCCAAGUUCAUUCUAAAAAAGUAAUAGAAAUUUUCAAAGGUGACUUUUUGAAUUUAGUUAGAAGUGAGAAUUCUAUUUUUUAUUAAUUCUCAAACCUGUUCUUAGGGCUAUUCCAGAAAAAACUAUUUCCAUCCCAGGAAUGGCAAUUUCAAAAACUUUAUGCGGGUGGAUGUAUUUGAAAUAAUAAAAAACAAAGGGGUGUUGAUUUAGUUUAUUUUUAUUUCUAUGGAUGGUGAGGGGUAAAAAAAAGUGCCGUCCCUGGGGGGCAUAAUUUUUUCUUGAACAGCCCUUAAUCUUAGUACUUUAUCAUUUUAAGUACCAGUUCAUUUUUAAUAUGAAUAUAUUCUAUAAAAUGGCAAACAAAUGUUUUCAAAAUUGAUAAAAUAUAAUAAGUGAACCUAUAAAAAAAACCACCAAGUUCUAGCAAAGAAGGAAAGAAAGUAAAGAACAAUGAAAAU
rnacentral:lncRNA from 1 species